ACGAGAAAAUACCGGCGAAAACGGAGCCUGCUCCGAAAGGGGACGAAACGAUCCUGGCACUCUUAGACGAAAUCGCGAGCGAGUAACACGUCGAGAAACAUAGCACAGAUUCUAGAUCGAGAAUUAAGUCGGAAUCGCAAAGUCGGUGAAACGAUAGGCAAGAAACGGUUUUGUAACGUCGUUAAUUAAGUGUGAAUAAAGGAAUGUGAUUAAGUUGUCGCACACAACCGAGUCGUAACAGUUAUUCAAAACCUAGCUUGUGUUGUCUGUUGUGCCGAAAGGUCGAUAGUCGUUGUCGAAGUCGUCCUUGGCUUUUUCUAUCAAGUGUUUGUCGGUCGUGAGCGAACGUUCACAAUGGACAAUUUAGAAAUUCGCUGAUAGUCGUGUCGGUAUUAUAUAUAUAUCAUAAAAUAAUAAAUUUCAAUUUGAAGAAAUUAUAUUACAUAAUACUCUUUGUUAUACGCACGCAGUUUUUCGGAAGUUUCUACGGCAAUAUCGCGAUUUGUGUCACGCUCGGAAAUAAGAUCAGUGUUAGUUUGUGCAAGUUGUUUAACAAGAUCAGCGAGUGUUUUAUUAUCGUGAUUACGGCAGUCAAAUCCGAACAACAACUUGGCAGGCGAGUUCUUAAUCGCUUUAUGGUGAGUAUUGUUUAACACAUAUUGCGCUUUGUUGAAAAACAACUUCCAUUGUGACGCGUUAUCAAUAAUCUUUUUAAGGGAAGAUUUUAAGAAUCGGUUAACCCGUUCAACCAACCCAUUAGCUCAUGGAGAGGCGACUGCGACUUGACGGUGUUUAACUUUGAGUGACUUAAUGAAACUCUCGAACUCCUUAGAAGUGAAUGCAGUACCACGUUGGGUACAACCACGUAAAUCGAGUGAAUGCGUCCACCACCAAGAACACAAAACGGAAACCGUCAUCGGUUGUUUGCAGGGGACCGAAAUGAUCGGCGUGCAGAAUAUCAAAAGGCUUUGAUGCACUAGAUAUUAUCUGCAUUUCCCCUUCACGCGCGUGUGAUGAAGUGUUCGCAAUGAGCCAAAUCAUCGUGGUAAAUGCGGAUCACGUUAGAAACUAAGGACUCCGGAACUACAAAUCUCGAACGGUCAGCUUGUUUACGGUAAACUAAACCGUCAAUUAGCUCGAAUUUAUCAUCAUCACCGAACUCAAGUCUCUUCGCAAUCUCCAAGACCUGUACAUCAAGAGCUUGUUUCAACUCAAGCUCACGCUCAAGAGAAGCAAUGUCCACCUGGCAAUCCGUGGAUUCAAAUUAAUUUUGUUUACCGCAUGCACAAGUGCAUUACAAUCAGUGAAUAUGGUAAAAACAAUACCAUAUAAAUAAAUGUGGAACCGCUCAACAGCCCUUACAAUCGCGAGCAUUUCCAGCUCGAAGCUGUGGUAACGAGCUUCCGCUUUAUUCGUGGGCUGGCUGAAAUACGCAAUCGGUGCAAAUUGCCCAGAUGCUUGCUUCUGGAAAAGAAUAGCACCUAACCCGCUCAAACUCGCGUCAGUAUGUCUACAAAUGCUUUGACACAUUCCGCAUCAAAACUAAAUUCUACCGCUUUGCGCAAUAGAUUCCGAAGAGGNUUA